GGUGCUGCAUGGCUGUCGUCAGCUCGUGUUGUGAAAUGUUGGGUUAAGUCCCGCAACCGAGCGCAACCCUUAUCCUUGUUGCCAGCGGUCCGGCCGGGAACUCAAAGGAGACUGCCAGUGAUAAACUGGAGGAAGGUGGGGAUGACGUCAAGUCAUCAUGGCCCUUACGACCAGGGCUACACACGUGCUACAAUGGCGCAUACAAAGAGAAGCGACCUCGCGAGAGCAAGCGGACCUCAUAAAGUGCGUCGUAGUCCGGAUUGGAGUCUGCAACUCGACUCCAUGAAGUCGGAAUCGCUAGUAAUCGUGGAUCAGAAUGCCACGGUGAAUACGUUCCCGGGCCUU
rnacentral:rRNA from 1 species